CUCCUAUUGGUGUGACGUCACUCUUGACUUGUGACGCCACCCGUGACUUGGUAUAUCGCGCAUAAACCAGUUAUAAAGUAUACGGCGAACGUUAACGUCAUUAAUAGAUAGAUUUAGAAAACACGACACAACGUCUAAGACGACGUGAAAAUGACGUAUGCACCUCGUGUUCACUUCCAGACCAGGUUUUUAAGGGAAGCCUCACAUAUCGAUUUUGUCCAUGAGAAACGUCACACAUUUUAUCGAUAUUUUGUAGGUAAUAAAUACAUGAAUAAGGUAAUUUUCUAUAUACAUUUUUUCGGUCGGCUAUUGGCGAUGCUUCCGCGAGGAAUAUGACAUACUCUUUUUUUAUUAUAAAUAUGAACUUCAAAAUUUCCAACGUUUCUCAAAACAACUUUUUUGCAUGAAAUUGAAAUAUUGAUAAUUUUAGCGCGCCUUUCUUGAAAUUUGAGUGUUUACAAUGCAAGGAAGCCGUAAUAAUAUAAAUGCAUAGGUAUAGAACAGGUCAGGUAUUACGAAUGUAUAGACUGCUGUUUGUAUCAAAUUAUUUUCUUUUUUAUAUUCUGCAAAGAUAAAAACUAUCGAAUUUUUCCAUGAUGUUUACAGAGAAACGUCACAGCUGCCAACCCCCCCACCCCCAAACGAACAUAUGACGUUUCUCGUGGAAAAAAUCGAUAUUUGAGGCUUCCCUUAAUCUGGGACGGUUUGUUUGUCUUUUUCGAAGCAAAUUUUUGUUUUCUUGUUACCGGCUCAUUCCUGUAUUGCUCUCAAUCAGUUGUCAAGAUACGAGCAAGAAAAGGCUAAUACUGGCCAAGUGUUUCCUGAUGAAUUAGUAUGAACGAAUAUUCAAUAAGUUUUUUUUUAGAAAAAGACGUAUAUUUCGGUAUUUUGAAAAGUGAACUUUCAUUGUUGCAUCAUUUGGAAUAAAUACAAUAGCUGCAGGUAUUGUUUACAAGCUAAAUGCUUUAUUUGUAGCCUAUUCAAUCAAGUUUGUCAACUGUUCAGUAUAAAUAUUGCAUCAGCGUUUAUAUUGGUAAAAUUUAAUACUGAUUACGAUAGUUUACUUUUUUGCACUGUUGAGUGUUGUGACAGAGCAACUAAAAUUGAUUGAGUUUUUACUGCUUUUAAUUGCUUUUAUUCUUCUAUCUUAAGUUUUCCUGAUUUUAAACAGUUGUUAAUAUAACUUCAGUUCAGUUUGUUCUAAAAUGUUUGUUUUGGUGAAGAAUACUAGCGGUAUUGAAGUGGUUAUUACAGGUAAACUACGUGAAGCGUUCCUCUUUUGACUUCCUAACUCAUUUGGAAUUUUCCUCAUUAGCUUUGCAAAUUUGAAAAACUCUUUGCAAAUCCCUUGAGGGAAUUUGCAAUGUUCCUAUCGGCUGUUGCAAUAUUCCAAUGCAAACAAACUUCAUUUUCAAUUUUCCUAACUUCCUGUUUUAAUUUCCUAACUUCCUGUCUGUUUUGAGCGUUGUUAUUGGUCGAUUAUUUUUGUUAGCCAAUUGCAACGCCCAGAACAGAACAAGAAGCUAGGAAAUUGUAACAGGAAGUUAAGAACUUCUAACAGGAACUGAGGAAAAUUUAAUUGGCUUUUAGCAACAUUGCAAAUUUCCUCAAGGGAUUUGCAAGGGAGUUUUUUAAAUUGCAAAAGUAAUGAGGAAAAUUGCAAUCAAUUUAGAAAUUCAAAAGAGGAACGCUUCACGUAGUUUACC
rnacentral:lncRNA from 1 species